UGCACGCCCACACAACAACGUUGCAGUUCGCUGACAAAUGAUCUCUAGGACUUUUCUCACUUAGCAAGUGUGCAAGCUCAGAGCUGUAAUUCUGGUCGCUUCGCGUCUAAUCUGAGGCCUCUCAUUAGACCACACAAAUUGCUGGAAGUGUCUCUAGCCAGCAGGCCCUAUCGCGGACCUCCACCAGUGUGCCUAGGAGAAAGACCAAAGCACUCUGAAACCUGAGGGCUGAUUCAUCAGACCCUGCCUUGCCACAGAUAA